rnacentral:rRNA from 1 species
GGACUACCGGGGUAUCUAAUCCUGUUUGCUCCCCACGCUUUCGUGCAUGAGCGUCAGUACAGGUCCAGGGGAUUGCCUUCGCCAUCGGUGUUCCUCCGCAUAUCUACGCAUUUCACUGCUACACGCGGAAUUCCAUCCCCCUCUACCGUACUCUAGCCAUGCAGUCACAAAUGCAGUUCCCAGGUUGAGCCCGGGGAUUUCACAUCUGUCUUGCAUAACCGCCUGCGCACGCUUUACGCCCAGUAAUUCCGAUUAACGCUUGCACCCUACGUAUUACCGCGGCUGCUGGCAC